rnacentral:rRNA from 1 species
AAUCAACGCUGGCGGCGUGCCUAACACAUGCAAGUCGAACGAGAAAGUGGAGCAAUCCAUGAGUAAAGUGGCGACCGGGUGAGUAACACGUGACUAACCUACCCUAAAGUGGGGAAUAACCUCGGGAAACCGGGGCUAAUACCGCAUAACAUUGCGCGGCUGAAAGGCCAUGCAUUCAAAGGAGCAAUUCGCUUUAGGAGGGGGUCGCGGUUGAUUAGCUAGUUGGUGAGGUAAUGGCUCACCAAGGCGAUGAUCAAUAGCCGGCCUGAGAGGGCGCACGGCCACACUGGAACUGAAACACGGUCCAGACUCCUACGGGAGGCAGC